GACGAACGCUGGCGGCGUGCUUAACACAUGCAAGUCGAACGCUGAAGCUUGGUGCUUGCACUGGGUGGAUGAGUGGCGAACGGGUGAGUAUCACGUGAGUAACCUGCCCCUGACUUCGGGAUAAGCCUGGGAAACUGGGUCUAAUACCGGAUAUGACCAUCUUUCGCAUGUUGGGUGGUGGAAAGUUUUUCGGUUGGGGAUGGGCUCGCGGCCUAUCAGUUUGUUGGUGGGGUAAUGGCCUACCAAGACGACGACGGGUAGCCGGCCUGAGAGGGCGACCGGCCACACUGGGACUGAGACACGGCCCAGACUCCUACGGGAGGCAGCAGUGAGGAAUAUUGGACAAUAGGCGAAAGCCUGAUCCAGCGACGUCACGUGAAUGAUGAAGGCCUUAGGGUUGUAAAAUUCUUUUAGUGGAGAAGAUAAUGACGGUAUCCACAGAAAAAGUCCCGGCUAACUUCGUGCCAGCCGCCGCCGUAAUAC
rnacentral:rRNA from 1 species